UCCCUGGUGGUUCAGUGGUUAGGACUCUGAUCUUCCACUGCAGGGGGUACAGGUUUAACCCCUGGUUGGGGAA
rnacentral:tRNA from 1 species